rnacentral:rRNA from 1 species
AGCAGCCGCGGUAAUUCCAGCUCCAAUAGCGUAUAUUAAAGUUGUUGCAGUUAAAAAGCUCGUAGUUGAAUUUCGGGAUUGGCGCAUCGGUCGUGCCUCACGGGGUAUGAACUGGUGCAGUCAAUUUCUCACCUUCUGGAGAACCGCGAUGUCCUUAAUUGGAUGCCGCGGGGAACCAGGACCUUUACUUUGAAAAAAUUAGAGUGUUUAAAGCAGGCAUUUUUGCUUGAAUACAUUAGCAUGGAAUAAUAAAAUAGGACGGCAUGGUUCUAUUUUGUUGGUUUCUAGGACCACCGUAAUGAUUAAUAGGGAUAGUUGGGGGCAUUAGUAUUCAAUUGUCAGAGGUGAAAUUCUUGGAUUUAUUGAAGACUAACUACUGCGAAAGCAUUUGCCAAGGAUGUUUU